rnacentral:rRNA from 1 species
CCCGCACAAGCGGAGGAGCAUGUGGUUUAAUUCGAUGAUACGCGAGGAACCUUACCUGGGCUCGAACGUAAGAUGACUGUAGGUGAAAGCUUACAUCUCUUCGGAGCAUUUUUACGAGGUGCUGCAUGGUUGUCGUCAGCUCGUGCCGUGAGGUGUCGGGUUAAGUCCCAUAACGAGCGCAACCCUACCUUUAGCUGCCAUCAGGUAAUGCUGGGGACUCUAAAGGAACUGCCUACGCAAGUAGUGAGGAAGCGGGGAUGACGUCAAAUCAGCACGGCCCUUACGUCCAGGGCUACACACGUGCUACAAUGGCCGAUACAGAGGGCAGCUACCUGGUGACAGGAUGCAAAUCUCCAAAGUCGGUCUCAGUUCGGAUCGGAGUCUGCAACCCGACUCCGUGAAGUUGGAUUCGCUAGUAAUCGCGCAUCAGCCAUGGCGCGGUGAAUACGUUCCCGGGCCUU